GAUGAACGCUGGCGGCGUGCUUAACACAUGCAAGUCGAACGAAGCACUUUAUUUGAUUUCCUUCGGGACUGAUUAUUUUGUGACUGAGUGGCGGACGGGUGAGUAACGCGUGGGUAACCUGCCUUGUACAGGGGGAUAACAGUUGGAAACGGCUGCUAAUACCGCAUAAGCGCACAGCAUCGCAUGAUGCAGUGUGAAAAACUCCGGUGGUAUAAGAUGGACCCGCGUUGGAUUAGCCAGUUGGUGAGGUAACGGCCCACCAAGGCGACGAUCCAUAGCCGACCUGAGAGGGUGACCGGCCACAUUGGGACUGAGACACGGCCCAAACUCCUACGGGAGGCAGCAGUGGGGAAUAUUGCACAAUGGGCGAAAGCCUGAUGCAGCGACGCCGCGUGAGCGAAGAAGUAUUUCGGUAUGUAAAGCUCUAUCAGCAGGGAAGAUAAUGACGGUACCUGACUAAGAAGCACCGGCUAAAUACGUGCCAGCAGCCGCGGUAAUACGUAUGGUGCAAGCGUUAUCCGGAUUUACUGGGUGUAAAGGGAGCGCAGGCGGUGCGGCAAGUCUGAUGUGAAAGCCCGGGGCUCAACCCCGGUACUGCAUUGGAAACUGUCGUACUAGAGUGUCGGAGGGGUAAGCGGAAUUCCUAGUGUAGCGGUGAAAUGCGUAGAUAUUAGGAGGAACACCAGUGGCGAAGGCGGCUUACUGGACGAUAACUGACGCUGAGGCUCGAAAGCGUGGGGAGCAAACAGGAUUAGAUACCCUGGUAGUCCACGCCGUAAACGGAAGAAUACUAGGUGUGGGGAAGCAUUGCCUCUCGGGGCCGUCGCAAACGCAGUAAAGUAUUCCACCCUGGGGAGUAACGUUCGCAAGAAAGAAACUCAAAGGAAUGAACGGGGACCCGCACAAGCCGGUGGAGCAUGUGGUUUAAUUUGAAGCAACGCGAAGAACCUUACCAAGUCUUGACAUCCUUCUGACCGGUACUUAACCGUACCUUCUCUUCUGAGCAGAAGUGACAGGUGGUGCAUGGUUGUCGUCAGCUCGUGUCGUGAGAUGUUGGGUUAAGUCCCGCAACGAGCGCAACCCUUAUCUUUAGUAGCCAGCGGUUAAGCCGGGCACUCUAGAGAGACUGCCAGGGAUAACCUGGAGGAAGGCGGGGAGGACGUCAAAUCAUCAUGCUCCUUAUGACUUGGGCUACACACGUUCUACAAUGGCGUAAACAAAGGGAAGCAAAGCUGUGAAGCCGAGCAAAUCUCAAAAAUAACGUCUCAGUUCGGACUGUAGUCUGCAACCCGACUACACGAAGCUGGAAUCGCUAGUAAUCGCAGAUCAGAAUGCUGCGGUGAAUACGUUCCCGGGUCUUGCACA
rnacentral:rRNA from 1 species